UGCGCGCGCUUUUCACGCCGCGACAAAGGAGAGUGCUUUGCGGAUUUCGACCAGUGCUUCUUCAGGAUGGGGCGAAAAUGUGUCUUGCCGAAUUGCAGCAGUGGGUACGCGUCCUGCAAGGAAAAGUUGGCGAGCAAGCGAUGGUACGCAGCGCUGGACGAUCUCAAAUACGCCGAGUACAAGAUGUGCAACGAGAGACUUAUUUAUCCCAAGGAUGGUCGUGUUGUUUCAAUUAUAAACCCAACUGAGCCUGGGGCUAAAAGUUGGAAAAAUACCUUAAAGGACGGCAAGCUGGAGUCUGACAGAAUUCGAUUUCCGGAAU